rnacentral:ncRNA from 1 species
UUCGUUCAUCCCUCUGGUAGGGGGACGCAAAUGCCGACUGAAGGAACGGGAG